rnacentral:rRNA from 1 species
AUGGACAUGGCGUCGGUGCAGUUGCUGCCGGACGACGUGCUGGCGGAUAUCCUCCGCCGCCUCGGACCGCACGACCUCGCCGUCUCCCGCUGCGUCUGCAAGCCGUGGUGCGCCGUCAUCGAUGCUCGCCGCAUGCUACCCGCAGAUGCACACCUCCUCCCUCUCUCGUUGGCCGGCUUCUUCACUGUCUCCUGGACGGAAUCGCUCACCGCCUACUUCUCACGCCCAUGCGCCUCGAUCGUCGUCGGCAAGUUAGACUACCUGGACACCGAUGACGCCCGCUCUUUAUCGGUUGCAGAUCAAUGCAACGGCCUCGUCCUGCUUCACAGGCCAACGCUCUGGCCUGACGACCAGCGGGUGCUUAAUCCGGUCACGCGACAGUGGGCCAAGUUACCACCAUACCCACACCUGGUCUCGCCUUGCAUGAAGCAGGACUCCUACCAACGAGAGGACAUGUAUCUCGUGUUUGAUCCUUCGGUGUCGCCACAUUACGAGGUUUUCUUAUUCCACUCUGUUCCCUACAAUUGUUACGAGGUUGACGUGGUUGACGAGGAUGCAUUUGACCCAGCAGUAAAGAAAAUGGAAUGGCCACCAUCGUCCUACACUUUGCGGGUCUAUUCAUCAAAGACACGACAGUGGGAGACGAAGCCUUUUAUCCGAGAAGGGGAGGCCGCAGGCACAAUUGGCGACAUGGAAUCAGCUCUAUCACCCGGGCACUGCCAUGCGGCCUACUGGCAGAGGGCUCUGUAUGUCCACCAACAUGAUUUUGUGAUCAGAAUGACCUUAUCAAAUGAGAAGUACAAAGUGAUUAAGCUGCCAUUAGGUCUUGAUGUGCGAACCGAUGACGAACCAGAACAUUACCUAGGAAAGUCAGAAAAAGGGGUGUACUGUGCAUUACUCUACGGCAACAAUCGUCUUGGCGUUCGGAUUUGGUUCCUUGACGAAAUAUGUGGCAAGAUGGACUGGCUCCUGAAACGUGAUAUAAACCUUGGAAAUCUACUAGCAAAUUAUCCUUGGAAACACGGUGACAGGUCUUGGACUACGCAAUAUGUUAAUGAUGAAAUUGGCAGGAGCAUGACACCGGCAGGAGCAAAAUUUGAAUCAGACUACUCUACCAAUGAUAAUGUCAUCGUCCCCGAAUAUACCGUUUCUUUACUUGGAUUUCAUCCUUAUAGAGAGAUCAUCUUCUUCCGUACAUCCUUCGGAAGAGCAAUGGCUUAUCAAUUCAAUAGCUCAGAGAUUGUAGACACGGGUUACUUGCAAGGAAAGGGCCCUCAUGAUUGCGUAGGUGGAUCCUUUGCAUACACCCCGUGUCGGAUGGGGAAGCUGUCAAACAACAUGUAA